rnacentral:rRNA from 1 species
GGUGAGUAACACGUGGAUAACCUACCUAUAAGACUGGGAUAACUUCGGGAAACCGGAGCUAAUACCGGAUAAUAUUUUGAACCGCAUGGUUCAAAAGUGAAAGACGGUCUUGCUGUCACUUAUAGAUGGAUCCGCGCUGCAUUAGCUAGUUGGUAAGGUAACGGCUUACCAAGGCAACGAUGCAUAGCCGACCUGAGAGGGUGAUCGGCCACACUGGAACUGAGACACGGUCCAGACUCCUACGGGAGGCAGCAGUAGGGAAUCUUCCGCAAUGGGCGAAAGCCUGACGGAGCAACGCCGCGUGAGUGAUGAAGGUCUUCGGAUCGUAAAACUCUGUUAUUAGGGAAGAACAUAUGUGUAAGUAACUGUGCACAUCUUGACGGUACCUAAUCAGAAAGCCACGGCUAACUACGUGCCAGCAGCCGCGGUAAUACGUAGGUGGCAAGCGUUAUCCGGAAUUAUUGGGCGUAAAGCGCGCGUAGGCGGUUUUUUAAGUCUGAUGUGAAAGCCCACGGCUCAACCGUGGAGGGUCAUUGGAAACUGGAAAACUUGAGUGCAGAAGAGGAAAGUGGAAUUCCAUGUGUAGCGGUGAAAUGCGCAGAGAUAUGGAGGAACACCAGUGGCGAAGGCGACUUUCUGGUCUGUAACUGACGCUGAUGUGCGAAAGCGUGGGGAUCAAACAGGAUUAGAUACCCUGGUAGUCCACGCCGUAAACGAUGAGUGCUAAGUGUUAGGGGGUUUCCGCCCCUUAGUGCUGCAGCUAACGCAUUAAGCACUCCGCCUGGGGAGUACGACCGCAAGGUUGAAACUCAAAGGAAUUGACGGGGACCCGCACAAGCGGUGGAGCAUGUGGUUUAAUUCGAAGCAACGCGAAGAACCUUACCAAAUCUUGACAUCCUUUGACAACUCUAGAGAUAGAGCCUUCCCCUUCGGGGGACAAAGUGACAGGUGGUGCAUGGUUGUCGUCAGCUCGUGUCGUGAGAUGUUGGGUUAAGUCCCGCAACGAGCGCAACCCUUAAGCUUAGUUGCCAUCAUUAAGUUGGGCACUCUAAGUUGACUGCCGGUGACAAACCGGAGGAAGGUGGGGAUGACGUCAAAUCAUCAUGCCCCUUAUGAUUUGGGCUACACACGUGCUACA